AGAGUUUGAUCCCGGCUCAGGAUAAACGCUGGCGGUGUGCUUUAUGCAUGCAAGUCGAACGAUUCUUAGCAAUAAGUUUAGUGGCAAACGGGUGAGUAACACGUAAGUAACCUGCCCUUAAGUGGGGAACAACUCCUAGAAAUGGGAGCUAAUACCGCAUGUGGUAGUGGGGGCAAUGCUCCAUUACUAAAGCCGUAAGGCGCUUGAGGAGGGGCUUGCGUCCGAUUAGCUAGUUGGUGAGGUAACGGCCCACCAAGGCGAAGAUCGGUAGCUGGUUUGAGAGGACGACCAGCCACACGGGGACUGAGACACGGCCCCGACUCCUACGGGAGGCAGCAGCAAGGAAUAUUGGGCAAUGGGCGAAAGCCUGACCCAGCGACACCGCGUGAGGGAAGAAGACCUUCGGGUUGUAAACCUCUUUUUCUAGGGAAGAAUAAUGACGGUACCUAGUGAAUAAGUCUCGGCUAACUACGUGCCAGCAGCCGCGGUAAUACGUAGGAGGCGAGCGUUAUCCGGAUUUACUGGGCGUAAAGAGGGUGUAGGCGGCGCGUUAAGUCGGAUGUGAAAUCUCCCGGCCAAACUGGGAGGGUGCGUUCGAAACUGAUGUGCUUGAGUGCAGCAGAGGAAAGUGGAAUUCCCGGUGUAGUGGCGAAAUGCGUAGAUAUCGGGAAGAACACCAGUGGCGAAGGCGGCUUUCCAGGCUGUAACUGACGCUGAGGCCCGAAGGCGUGGGGAGCAAACAGGAUCAGAUACCCUGGUAGUCCACGCAGUAAACGAUGGGUACUAGGUAUAGGGAGUAUCGACCCUCUCUGUGCCGAAGCUAACGCUUUAAGUACCCCGCCUGGGGAGUACGGUCGCAAGACUAAAACUCAAAGGAAUUGACGGGGGCCCGCACAAGCAGCGGAGCGUGUGGUUUAAUUCGAUCAACACGAAGAACCUUACCAGGGCUUGACAUGUUGGAAGUAGUGAUCCGAAAGGGGAACGAACUGUUAAAUCAGUAACCUUCACAGGUGCUGCAUGGCUGUCGUCAGCUCGUGCCGUGAGGUGUCGGGUUAAGUCCUAUAACGAGCGCAACCCUCGUUGCCAGUUAAUUUCUCUGGCGAGACUGCCCUGCAAAACGGGGAGGAAGGCGGGGAUGAUGUCAAGUCAGUAUGGCCCUUAUGCCCUGGGCUACACACGCGCUACAAUGGGUGGUACAGUGGGUCGCAAUGGAGUAAUCCGGAGCUAAUCCUUUAAAACCACUCUCAGUUCGGAUUGCAGGCUGAAAUCCGCCUGCAUGAAGUCGGAGUUGCUAGUAACCGUAAAUCAGCAUGUUACGGUGAAUACGUUCUCGGGCCUUGUACACACCGCCCGUCACGUCAUGAAAGUCGGUAACACCUGAAGCCGAUGAGCUAACCCUUCGGGGAGGCAGUUGUCUAGGGUGGGAUCGGUGAUUGGGACGAAGUCGUAACAAGGUA
rnacentral:rRNA from 1 species